rnacentral:rRNA from 1 species
AGAGUUUGAUCCUGGCUCAGAACGAACGCUGGCGGCGUGCUUAACACAUGCAAGUCGAACGCGAAAGAGUUCUUCGGAACUUGAGUAGAGUGGCGCACGGGUGAGUAACGCGUAAGUGAUCUACCCCUGUAUCUGGAAUAACUAUGGGAAACUGUAGCUAAUACCGGAUACGUUCAUGUGAUUGCGAUCAUGUGAAGAAAGAUGGCCUCUGACAUAAGCUAUCGUACAGGGAGGAGCUUGCGUACCAUUAGCUAGUUGGCAGGGUAAAGGCCUACCAAGGCGACGAUGGUUAGCGGGUCUGAGAGGAUGAUCCGCCACACUGGAACUGAAACACGGACCAGACUCCUACGGGAGGCAGCAGUGAGGAAUAUUGCGCAAUGGGGGCAACCCUGACGCAGCGACGCCGCGUGGAUGAUGAAGGCCUUCGGGUCGUAAAAUCCUGUCGGAUGGAAAGAAGUGUGAUGUGGUUAAUACCCAUGUCAUUUGACGGUACCAUCAGAGGAAGCACCGGCUAACUCCGUGCCAGCAGCCGCGGUAAUACGGAGGGUGCAAGCGUUGUUCGGAAUUACUGGGCGUAAAGCGCGCGUAGGCGGUUUGUUAAGUCAGAUGUGAAAGCCCAGGGCUUAACCCUGGACGUGCAUUUGAAACUGUCAGACUUGAGUAUUGGAGGGGGUGGUGGAAUUCCCGGUGUAGAGGUGAAAUUCGUAGAUAUCGGGAGGAAUACCGGUGGCGAAGGCGACCACCUGGCCAAAUACUGACGCUGAGGUGCGAAGGCGUGGGGAGCAAACAGGAUUAGAUACCCUGGUAGUC